GACGAACGCUGGCGGCGUGCUUAACACAUGCAAGUCGAGCGGUAAGGCCCUUUCGGGGGUACGACGAGCGGCGAACGGGUGAGUAACACGUGGGUGACCUGCCCUCAGCUCUGGGAUAAGCCUGGGAAACUGGGUCUAAUACUGGAUAUGACUCCACGGUGCAUGUCGUGGGGUGGAAAGCCUUGUGCGGCUGAGGAUGGGCCCGCGGCCUAUCAGCUUGUUGGUGGGGGGAUGGCCUACCAAGGCGACGACGGGUAGGCCGGCCUGAGAGGGCGACCGGCCACACUGGGACUGAGACACGGCCCAGACUCCUACGGGAGGCAGCAGUGGGGAAUCUUGCGCAAUGGGCGAAAGCCUGACGCAGCGACGCCGCGUGAGGGAUGAUGGCCU
rnacentral:rRNA from 1 species